UGACAGGAGAAUGUCACUUGCGUAUGAAUCAAUAAACAGCGCAAACAAAUAAGCAAAAAAUAAAAUGAGAGGGAGAAAAAGGUUUAACCAGUAACACAGAGUUAAAUCUCACAUGAUGCAUCCCUAAAAUUUUGUAAAAGGAGACAGGGUGGGAACUUUUUUAGAAGUUGUAGAUCUGAGAAAGUCCCCCCCCCCCAAUUCGAUUGCCUUAUUGAACCAGCAGCAUGUUUCACACUAAAUGGCUGUGAAGUCUCCAGCUUGAUCAGACUGAUCAAGAGCAUAUGACAUACAUAUAAAUCAAUAAACAACACAAACAAUCAAGUAAGAAUACCAUCAAAUAAACAGAAGGGACAAAAAGUUUAACCAAAAAUUACUAAACAAACCAUUUUUUUAAAUGCACAGUCUUGUGCAGGUAGUCAGCCGCCUCACUUGGACACUUAUAUCGCGCCCUUUAACUUCUUCCCGACCCAAAAAAUUGCAGCUUUAAAGCAACUUUAACACGGCUUUCAGAAAUCAGCACACCUGGCAUAAAGUUCAGCUUUGUCUUGGCUGAGAAGAACAAUACUCCUUCACCAUCCUCCAUUAACAAGGCUGGUUCUUUCUCCUGUCACACCUGUUGGCGCAGCUCUUUCCAGAGGAUCAAUCAUCCGAAGGUGUCUUGACCACCGCCUCCUCAUCUCCCCAGUCAAAGGCAACCAAUCUUAUAGCAGAUCAGAAUCGUCACCUGUCACCCAGGUAAUCCAGAAAACAGAGGAGAAAGCUUCUGGCUGUGUCUGUCUAUCCUGAGCUUUAGUAGAAGGAAACCCUUCAUAACAGAAGAGACUGUUCGCUGGCUGAUGAUGGUGCUGACUUAUUGUUCAGGAAGACAGUUUUCUCCUGGGAGGGAGGGGGGCGGGGACCGGGUCAGCCGCUGUGCCAAGCCUGAGAGUAUGAAAAUGGAGGUGACAGGAUGUUGAUGAGGAGGCCCGAAGCGUUACCUCGAACCGCCAUGCCCUGGAGUGCUCCACUCUGCCAGCCGGUAAUGAACCUGUGAAGCGCCUCUCAGCUCACCUGUCACCCAGUCACCGAGUCAUUCUUUACCAGCCGCAUUUUCACCCCAGAGACACACAGAAGCACGCAACCCCAUCCGGAGUGUUCAGCAUUCACUAUUAACCAUCUGAUGUUUGUUUGCAGACAAACAACGGCACUUUUUUUUUUUUUUUUUACGCUACCCGAGUCAGCCGGAGUGUUUCAAUCACAUUAAUCUCAAAAAAAAAAAAAAAAACAGUAGGGAAAUAUGGAGUUGUUAAAGGGUACAACACAGCUGAGCGAGUGACAGCUGAAGCGUAGAAGCGAGAGAGCGACGGAGGGAUACAGCGGAAAAAUAAGUACAGGUACAGGUGCGAGUUGAUGGAGGUAGAUGAGGUGUGUGCGCGCGCAUGUGUGCGUGCUCUUUCGUCUCACCUGCGCGACUUCCUGCGCCCAGCAGACUGGAUCGCUCUCUCGCUCAAUCCCUCAGACCCACUGAUGGAGAACAUAGCCUCGAUAUGUAAGCUGACAGAGGAUUUUCGCUCUCCCCGUCAUCCUCCCUCCAGAAUAUUUCUCUCCCUUUUUCUCAUUCCAGUAUUUGGCGAGCCAUAAAACUUUUUAAAUAAUUCCUGUGAAGUGGUAAAGAAGGAGGAGUUAUUUUGGGUUCUGGAAGUGGAGGUCGGGUUCAUUUGCCUCGCACAGAUCACUGGUGGAAACACCCCCUGGCUGAAUUAGCAGGAAAGAAGACGAGCAAAUGGUUUUUUAGAAAGCAUCUUUCUAUCCCUCUUUCAUAAACAGUCAAACCGAUUGAUGGGUUUCAAGAUUCUCUGAUUGCAGAUUCUUAAAUGUGAAUUUUUUUUUUCUCUGGUUGCUUUACCCCACUAGGCCAGUUUCACUGAUUUUUCCCCAUUGUGUGACAUUUUAAAGACAUAACUACUAAACAAAUGACCAAGAAAAUAGACAACAAACACAACAAGAGAGAUUGAGUAUGACUCCUCCAACCUUAACGAACUAACAUUGUCACUGACAUCCAAAACAACCCUUUACCCAACAGAACAUGUUCACGAGGCUCAUAGCUUUGGAAUUUAAAAGCACAGGGAUAUAAAUACAUUACCAAUACAUUCUUAUCCCGACUCCCUGUGAUAAUUGUUUAGUUACCUUUUGUUUGUUAUCUCACUUCCUGUUUUAUUUUGUACCUUCAUCCACAUUUGUUUGCUUGACUUCCUGCCUUUGUUUAGUUUGCCACUACUUUCAUUCACCAGCUGUUGUCAGUUAUCCAAUUAGCCAUUUCAGUAUUGAUUCCCCCGCUUGUUCACUACCCAUUCAUCAGAUUGUUACAUUUACAUUUACAUUGUCUUAGCUUUCUUCACAUACAAGCUUUCCAGCCAUCAUUGUUCCUGCUUUUCCUCCAGUGUAUCAACACAGUCUGUUUGGACUUUUGGAUUUUCGCCUGACCCCGUGUAAGUUUGUUGCUUCUGACUGUUUUGGGGGGUUUUUUUGUUUGUUUUUUUCCUGCAUGCGCCUGCUCUUUGUGCC